AGUGGCGCACGGGUGCGUAACGCGUGGGAAUCUGCCCUUGGGUUCGGAACAACAGUUGGAAACGACUGCUAAUACCGGAUGAUGACUUCGGUCCAAAGAUUUAUCGCCCAAGGAUGAGCCCGCGUAGGAUUAGCUUGUUGGUGAGGUAAAAGCUCACCAAGGCGACGAUCCUUAGCUGGUCUGAGAGGAUGAUCAGCCACACUGGGACUGAGACACGGCCCAGACUCCUACGGGAGGCAGCAGUGGGGAAUAUUGGACAAUGGGCGAAAGCCUGAUCCAGCAAUGCCGCGUGAGUGAUGAAGGCCUUAGGGUUGUAAAGCUCUUUUACCCGGGAUGAUAAUGACAGUACCGGGAGAAUAAGCCCCGGCUAACUCCGUGCCAGCAGCCGCGGUAAUACGGAGGGGGCUAGCGUUGUUCGGAAUUACUGGGCGUAAAGCGCACGUAGGCGGCUUUGUAAGUUAGAGGUGAAAGCCCGGAGCUCAACUCCGGAAUUGCCUUUAAGACUGCAUCGCUUGAAUCAUGGAGAGGUGAGUGGAAUUCCGAGUGUAGAGGUGAAAUUCGUAGAUAUUCGGAAGANCACCAGUGGCNAA
rnacentral:rRNA from 1 species